UACGGGGGGAGCAAGCGUUGUUCGGAUUCAUUGGGCGUAAAGGGUGCGUAGGCGGCGCGGUAAGUCGGGUGUGAAAUCUCGGAGCUUAACUACGAAAUGGCAUUGGAAACUACCUUGCUCGAGGGUUGGAGGGGGGACUGGAAUACUUGGUGUAGCAGUGAAAUGCGUAGAUAUCAAGUGGAACACCAGUGGCGAAGGCGAGUCCCUGGACAACUCCUGACACUGAGGCACGAAAGCUAGGGGAGCAAACAGG
rnacentral:rRNA from 1 species